CCCAAGUAGUCGACGCUUAAAGAGUCAAAUCGAAAUUUGAACUGCUACUCCAGUCCCAGAUCUCAAUUUAUUCAUUCGUUUCCUAAACAUCGUGGAAGUAACACCUUGGCGGCUAAAGCUUUAGGCAAUGAAAUGUGCGGAAGAAACCUAUGGACAAUAACAAUGCUGGCUAUCCGCGUCUAUAUAUAAACACCCAUACAAAUCGUAACAAAAUGGAACAAAACUACAUGUACCUGGACUGUCGCAAUGCUGGAUAAAAUAACAUAAUCCCAUCAUAAUUAUUUUAUUCUCAACACUACAAAAAAGGAAUACAAUUAACUAAUAUGAAUAUGUGGACUGUGGUGAUGGUGGUACUAAGAAUGAUGCUAUACAAGAAAUAUACUUUCCGGCACGAACAAAAACAAUGAUUACAAGAAUUUACCCUUGAAAUCAAAAUUCUGUAAGAAUUUUCACACUGGCUCACUCUCAAAUACAACACAUAUUUAAAUGCACACAUUACAUAUUACAUUUCAAUGUUAAAAGAUCGUAUUGACAUUAAACGUUUACAAUUACUCUUACUCAUCUCAUUGUUAAUAAAAUGUUCGCUCCA